GGGCCGUUAGCUCAGCGAUUAGAGCGCUGCCUUCGCAUGGCAGAGGUCGUGGGUUUAAAUCCCACACGGUCCA
rnacentral:tRNA from 1 species